AUACGUAGGGGGCGAGCGUUGUCCGGAAUGAUUGGGCGUAAAGGGCGCGUAGGCGGCGCGGUAAGUCUGGAGUGAAAGUCCUGCUUUCAAGGUGGGAAUUGCUUUGGAUACUGCCGCGCUUGAGUGCAGGAGAGGUUAUCGGAAUUCCCGGUGUAGCGGUGAAAUGCGUAGAGAUCGGGAGGAACACCAGUGGCGAAGGCGGGUAACUGGGCAGUAACUGACGCUGAGGCGCGAAAGUGUGGGGAGCAAACAGGAUUAGAUACCCUGGGAGUCCACGCCGUAAACGAUGGGUACUAGGUGCCGGGGGGAGCGACCCUUUGGGUGCCGGCGCUAACACAGGAAGCACCCCGCCUGGGGAGUACGACCGCAAGGUUGAAACUCAAAGGAAUUGACGG
rnacentral:rRNA from 1 species